AUCAAAUAGUGACUGAUACUAUCGGUAACUGUUAUGGUUCAUAUGUAUGUGUGAAACAGGAGAUCAGGUACCCACAUAACACAAACUCUAACGUUUAUUUGAAUAAAACUAACAGAAAGGACUAAAUGUAAUAACGGUGAGAAACUUAGAGGACCGAAAUAAAUCAAUUUUUAGUUAGAGGACCAAUCUGAUACCAAUUAAAUAGUUAGAGGACAAAUCCAAUACCAAUUAAAUAGUUAGAGGACCAAAAAGGUAAUUUAGCCUAAAAAUAAACUUGAUCGAUGUUUCACAAUUAUUCAAAAUAGUUAUUGGGUUUCCUCUCAAAAAUAAAAAUUGUUACCUGGGCAAAGAAAGUGGCUCACUCGUUUACAAAUGAGCUGAAAGUUUUAUUCAAUUUGGGUUAUGUUUGGAGGAGAGUUGCUUUUAGAUACAUUUUCAUUGCUCAAAAAUAUAAUUACAGUUGGUUGAAC
rnacentral:lncRNA from 1 species